rnacentral:rRNA from 1 species
GUGGGGAAUAUUGCGCAAUGGGGGAAACCCUGACGCAGCAACGCCGCGUGAUUGAAGAAGGCCUUCGGGUUGUAAAGAUCUUUAAUUGGGGACGAAAUAAAUGACGGUACCCAAAGAAUAAGCUCCGGCUAACUACGUGCCAGCAGCCGCGGUAAUACGUAGGGAGCAAGCGUUAUCCGGAUUUACUGGGUGUAAAGGGCGAGUAGGCGGGCCGACAAGUUGGGAGUGAAAUCCGGGGGCUUAACCCCCGAACUGCUUUCAAAACUGUUGGUCUUGAGUGAUGGAGAGGCAGGCGGAAUUACCAGUGUAGCGGUGAAAUGCGUAGAUAUUGGGAGGAACACCAGUGGCGAAGGCGGCCUGCUGGACAUUAACUGACGCUGAGGCGCGAAAGCGUGGGGAGCAAACAGGAUUAGAAACCCGUGUAGUCC